rnacentral:lncRNA from 1 species
AGGACAGUCACUAUAGAAUGAUGCUAAGAAACAAGACUGAAGGAUUUGCUGGAGGAAAGAUUUUGGUCUGGGCAGGUGGGAUGUUUCCCCGUUAACACCAAGGUGAUGCAGCAGAGGAAAUGCUUCUGUGUCCCUCUAAAUCCUUCAGAGUGUAAUGCUGCUCUGAGCAGGGAGAGGAGAAGGCAGUGGGGAGGGCUGCUGUUGCUCACCAGGAAUCUGCUCUGUGCAGGGGCAAAGCCAAAUGAAAGAAAAUCCUCAUUUAGGAGCAUCAUUGUGCAUUCAAGCUGAGGGGAAAAAACGCAUGAGUAAGUGGAAAGCUUGAGGAAAAGAGCCAUUUAUAACAGCAGAGAGCAGUAAUUACUGCAUGAGGCCACAUUUGUAACUUUGGAGAUUCUGGGUUAGACAAGCACUAGAUGCACAGGUGUGGUUUUAUUGACCCAAGGCAUGUGUGUUCUUACUCCCCACUGCCUCACAACCAGAGCUGCUGCAUCUUCUGUCUCUAUUUGAUGUCUUUUAUAUUUGCUCCUCAACAAUCGCAGUGCUGAUGGCUGACAAAGGGAUGGAGUGGGACAGUGCAAUGUUUUAUUCUGUCAGGGCAGGUGCAUGGCUGGAGGGGUGUGCAUGGCCAAUUGCUUGGAUUCUGUGGUUCUUUUUGUCUGCAGCUGUGAUGACCAAAGUUGCAGCAUCCUAUGGAGGUGACAGCUAUGGCCAUCUCACUGCU